UACGUAGGGGGCAAGCGUUGUCCGGAUUUAUUGGGCGUAAAGAGCGUGUAGGCGGCUAGGUAGGUGGGGUGUGAAAACUGGAGGCUCAACCUUCAGAGGUCGACCCAAACCCCCUGGCUAGAGUCCGGAAGAGGAGAGUGGAAUUCCUGGUGUAGCGGUGAAAUGCGCAGAUAUCAGGAAGAACACCCGUGGCGAAGGCGGCCCUCUGGGACGGUACUGACGCUGAGACGCGAAAGCGUGGGGAGCGAACAGG
rnacentral:rRNA from 1 species